AGAGUUUGAUCCUGGCUCAGGAUGAACGCUAGCUACAGGCUUAACACAUGCAAGUCGAGGGGCAGCGGGAUUGAAGCUUGCUUCAAUUGCCGGCGACCGGCGCACGGGUGAGUAACGCGUAUCCAACCUUCCGUACACUCAGGGAUAGCCUUUCGAAAGAAAGAUUAAUACCUGAUGGUAUGAUGAGAUUGCAUGAUAGCAUCAUUAAAGAUUUAUCGGUGUACGAUGGGGAUGCGUUCCAUUAGGUAGUAGGCGGGGUAACGGCCCACCUAGCCAACGAUGGAUAGGGGUUCUGAGAGGAAGGUCCCCCACAUUGGAACUGAGACACGGUCCAAACUCCUACGGGAGGCAGCAGUGAGGAAUAUUGGUCAAUGGACGAGAGUCUGAACCAGCCAAGUAGCGUGAAGGAUGAAGGUCCUACGGAUUGUAAACUUCUUUUAUAAGGGAAUAAACCCUCCCACGUGUGGGAGCUUGUAUGUACCUUAUGAAUAAGCAUCGGCUAACUCCGUGCCAGCAGCCGCGGUAAUACGGAGGAUGCGAGCGUUAUCCGGAUUUAUUGGGUUUAAAGGGAGCGCAGACGGGUCGUUAGGUCAGCUGUGAAAGUUUGGGGCUCAACCUUAAAAUUGCAGUUGAUACUGGCGUCCUUGAGUGCGGUUGAGGUGUGCGGAAUUCGUGGUGUAGCGGUGAAAUGCUUAGAUAUCACGAAGAACUCCGAUUGCGAAGGCAGCACACUAAUCCGUAACUGACGUUCAUGCUCGAAAGUGUGGGUAUCAAACAGGAUUAGAUACCCUGGUAGUCCACACGGUAAACGAUGGAUACUCGCUUUGGCGAUAUACAGUCAGCGGUUUAGCGAAAGCGGUUAAGUAUCCCACCUGGGGAGUACGCCGGCAACGGUGAAACUCAAAGGAAUUGACGGGGGCCCGCACAAGCGGAGGAACAUGUGGUUUAAUUCGAUGAUACGCGA
rnacentral:rRNA from 1 species